AUGGAGUCGUCGCCGCAUAAGCGCAACGUCAACCGAGAUGAGGACAAGAUCAGCGUGCUCCCCGAUGAACUCAUCUUCGGAAUCCUCGAGCGCCUUGACCUACGCAAAGCAGUCCGCACCGCCGCACUCUCGACGCGGUGGCGGCACUUCCCCUACCGUCUCUCGCGCGUGUACCUCAGCGUCUGCCACUUUCAACACAACACGCAGCUCGAGCAAAUGGACGCGUUCACGGGUGCGCUACGGAGUUUGCUGGCCAAGCGCGAGUGUGACUGUCGAGCCAUCAAGACAUUUAAUCUCAAGUUCUUAUUGUCGACACCUCACCUGAGUUCCACCGGCAGCGCCCUUGAGAACCUCGCCAGCCUUGGCGAGGUCAAAUGUCUCGAGCUUGUCAUAUGA
rnacentral:rRNA from 1 species